rnacentral:lncRNA from 1 species
CUUGAUGUGGGGUUUCUAUUGGGAGUGCAAUUAGAGAUAGAGUUAGCUUACUUUAUUUAUUUUAGGGUUUAUCAGAGUUGAUACAAGACCUUAUUUAAUGUUGACUUUAUCAAAUAUUUAUUUUCUUCUUGUUGAUAUUGAGUUUUGAUUCAGUUAUUUAAAUUAAGAUUUGACAUUAAUCGUUUAAUUUUAUUCUACUGUUUGUUUAUAAUAUCAUGAUGAGAUAUCUUACAUGCUUAUGAGAAGAGUUUUUAUUGCCUAGAAAGAUAGCAACCCCAGAGGGAUGGGUGAAUUGAGUUCUUUUUAAAAUUUUAGCC